rnacentral:rRNA from 1 species
AUUGAACGCUGGCGGCAUGCCUAACACAUGCAAGUCGAACGGCAACACGGGUGAUUGCACCUGGUGGCGAGUGGCGGACGGAUGGGUAAGACAUCGGUGCAUGUCCUGUAGUGGGGGAUAGACAAGCGAAAGCCAGGUUAAUAACGCCUGCGAACUGCGGCUGAACGAGGGGGGCCUUCCGGCCUCGCGCUCUAGAGCUGGCCGAUCGCUGAUUAGCUAGUUGGUGGGGUAACGGCCUACCAAGGCGACGAUCAGUAGCUGGUCUGAGAGGAUGACCAGCCACGCUGGGACUGAGACACGGUCCAGACUCCUACGGGAGGCAGCAGUGGGGAAUUUUGGACAAUGGGCGCAAGCCUGAUCCAGCCAUGCCGCGUGUGUGAAGAAGGCCUUCGGGUUGUAAAGCACUUUUGUCCGGAAAGAAAGCCUUGGCGCUAAUACCGUCGGUGGAUGACGUUACCGGAAGAAUAAGCACCGGCUAACUACGUG